rnacentral:misc_RNA from 1 species
GAUGAAGAACGUAGCGAACGUGCGAAACGUAAUGUGAAUUGCAGAAUUCAGUGAAUCAUCGAAUCUUUGAACGCAUCUUGCGCUCCUUGGUAUUCCGAGGAGCAUGCCUGUUUGAGUGUCGUGAAUACUCUCAACUUCAACCCUUUUUUCGGCAAGGGAGGAAGGUUGGACUUGGGUGUUUGUUGAAGUGCGAGCUUCGACUCAUCCUAAAUGCAUUAGCGAUCUGCCUCGAUCACACACAAUGUGAUAAUUAAAACUAAAGCAUUGUUUAAUGAUCAAGUCGAGACUGCUUCUAACUGUCGCAAGACAAUAACGUGCAUACAUUUGUGCAUGUCAUUUGACCUCAAAUCAGGUAGGACUACCCGCUGAACUUAAGCAUAUCAAUAAGCGGAGGA